AUUGAACGCUGGCGGCAGGCCUAACACAUGCAAGUCGAGCGGAUGAAGGGAGCUUGCUCCUCGAUUCAGCGGCGGACGGGUGAGUAAUGCCUAGGAAUCUGCCUGGUAGUGGGGGAUAACGUCCGGAAACGGGCGCUAAUACCGCAUACGUCCUGAGGGAGAAAGUGGGGGAUCUUCGGACCUCACGCUAUCAGAUGAGCCUAGGUCGGAUUAGCUAGUUGGUGGGGUGAAGGCCUACCAAGGCGACGAUCCGUAACUGGUCUGAGAGGAUGAUCAGUCACACUGGAACUGAGACACGGUCCAGACUCCUACGGGAGGCAGCGGUGGGGAAUAUUGGACAAUGGGCGAAAGCCUGAUCCAGCCAUGCCGCGUGUGUGAAGAAGGUCUUCGGAUUGUAAAGCACUUUAAGUUGGGAGGAAGGGCAGUAAGUUAAUACCUUGCUGUUUUGACGUUACCAACAGAAUAAGCACCGGCUAACUUCGUG
rnacentral:rRNA from 1 species